CUUUUAUGUGGCAAUUUUGUUCCCUGUAAUGGGUGUUAAACUUCCAAGACAAACAUACCAACUUCUAAAAUUGUUUCACAUUGAAAUUUUAUUUUAGACCUGUAACUUUCAAAAUAAACUGAAAUCCUACACAUAUUAUGUACUUUGUAAAUCAAGACACAUAAAUGAAUUGAUUUUGAAUUACUUUUCCUACGCUUGACAUAUUAUGCACACAUUAUUAUUGCCAAACCUUGUG